GACGAACGCUGGCGGCGUGCCUAAUACAUGCAAGUUGAGCGCUGAAGGUUGGUACUUGUACCAACUGGAUGAGCAGCGAACGGGUGAGUAACGCGUGGGGAAUCUGCCUUUGAGCGGGGGACAACAUUUGGAAACGAAUGCUAAUACCGCAUAAAAACUUUAAACACAAGUUUUAAGUUUGAAAGAUGCAAUUGCAUCACUCAAAGAUGAUCCCGCGUUGUAUUAGCUAGUUGGUGAUGUAAAGGCUCACCAAGGCGAUGAUACAUAGCCGACCUGAGAGGGUGAUCGGCCACAUUGGGACUGAGACACGGCCCAAACUCCUACGGGAGGCAGCAGUAGGGAAUCUUCGGCAAUGGACGAAAGUCUGACCGAGCAACGCCGCGUGAGUGAAGAAGGUUUUCGGAUCGUAAAACUCUGUUGGUAGAGAAGAACGUUGGUGAGAGUGGAAAGCUCAUCAAGUGACGGUAACUACCCAGAAAGGGACGGCUAACUACGUG
rnacentral:rRNA from 1 species